UACCAGCACCCCGAGUGGUCGGGACGAUUAUUGGGCCUAAAGCAUCCGUAGCCGGUCCUACAAGUCUUCCGUUAAAUCCACCUGCUUAACAGAUGGGCUGCGGAAGAUACUAUAGGGCUAGGAGGCGGGAGAGGCAAGCGGUACUCAGUGGGUAGGGGUAAAAUCCUCUGAUCCAUUGAAGACCACCAGUGGCGAAGGCGGCUUGCCAGAACGCGCUCGACGGUGAGGGAUGAAGGCUGGGGGAGCAAACCGG
rnacentral:rRNA from 1 species